GUGACCCCCUAAAGGGAGCAGGGUGCAGAAUGACAAAGACCAAGGACUAACUUGGGGAUGCACAAGAGGCAGGUUUUUAAGUCUUAGACAGAUUUUUUUGGGGGAAAGCACAACUAUUAGUAGAUGAUCAUUCUUUCAAUAGACAAAGACAAAGGCUGGAUAUAAAAGUUGAGGCUGGUGUAAAACAUCUAGCUCUCCUACUUUGGAAUUCCUUGGUUUUUCUAUCUCAUAUUUCCAACUUUUAUGGUAGGCAACUUUUUCUGUCACAUUGCUCUUAAUGAAUCCAAUGUUUGGCAAUCAGAUGAUUCCACUCCAACAUCCUAGAGCCAGUGUGUCCAACUAAUUUUCACUUCGAGCCACAUCAUAAAUGACCUCUAUGGUCCGGUUAUGGCAGAAAAUAUAGAUAAAACUACUGAAGGUAGUUUUUGCUUGUCCAUCUGUUCAUGUUGAUGUAAGUUGGCCCAAACUAAGAACUGAUUUGAUUUGACUGAUAAAAUACUAUUUAAAUACACAAAUGUUAUCUUGAAAUUCUACUUCUGUGGUUCUGUAAACCUCAGAGGGACCAUAGAAACAGCUGUGCGGCUAUUGAUUUGGUCUGCAAAAGCAUAGCAUACAUUAGAGUACCUGAAACAAGAAAAUAAAAACACCCAUUGCUAAGGCGUAUAAGGAAUGACGACGUGUCACCCCAACACAAAUCUAGAAGUAUUUUUCCUGGUUCAUGCUUAAUCAGUGCUUGGUAAAGGGUGACCUGCCUUAUCAUUCAUCUCUCUCUUUCUCUAGGAACCUAAAUUAAUUUUAAAAUUUUCUAUUAGCUGACAAUUUUCCUUCCUUACCUCCACUAACCCCUGCAAGAUGCGUACAAACAUGACGCAGCCAUAGUGCACCCUGGCAGCUGACGGGAUGAACAUGUUCAGCACUGAUGUUAGAAAAAUGGCAGCCCCAAAAACCCUGUGAAGAAAACAAGGGCCGUCAAUGAAUCAGUACAGCCAGACUCCAUCAGAAUAGCUUAUGUGUUUCAAUGAAAAUGCUUCAUGGGAAAUGAACCUUCACUGGGCCUUUUUUAAAUAUUUAGGUUUUAUAAUUGAUUAUUCCCUGGGUUUUGUUCUCAACCUUCAACAGCUUGUAAAAAAGAUGAAGCUGAAGCUGGGUUCUUAUUUCAAAAUUAAAUCUUGUUUAUAAAGAUUUAUCAUUUCAUCACAGAUUUAGUGCCUCUGUUUUAUUGCAUUGGGACUGUAUCUCUUGUCCCUUUUUGUUAAAAUAUUUUCAGGUGUUUAUUUUCUGCGCUCAGGUGAUUUGAUUUUAUUAAUUGUUCGGUGUGCAAUGAUCUUUCCAAAAAAAAUUGCUUUCCAGUUUGCUGCUCCCUCAGUCUGGAAUCAACUGCAAAAAGACUUAAAGCUGAAAGAAAUUGUUUCCUUUAAUGCAUUUAAGGCCACUCUUAAUCAGUUUGUAAAUAAGAUUUUUUUUUGUACAUGUUUAGAUUAAUAUCUAGUUUUAUAUUAGAUUCAUUACUACCUUUAUGUCUGUGUUGGCUACACAGUCUAUGUAUAUAUCUAUAGAUAUAUAGAUCUAUAGAUAUCUCUAGAUCUAUAGAUAUAUCUAUCUAUCUAUACCUAUAUAUAUCUAUAGAUAUAUAUCUAUAUCUAUCUAUCUAUAUCUAUAGAUAUAUUUAUAUCUAUAUCUAUAGAUAUAGAUAUAUAGACUGAUGGGGCUGCAAAGUGGCGCAGUUGGUAGAGCUGUUGCCUUGCAGCAAGAAGGUCCUGGGUUCGAUUCCCGGCCGGGGAUCUUUCUGCAUGGAGUUUGCAUGUUCUCCCUGUGCAUGCGUGGAUUCUCUCCGGGUUCUCCGGCUUCCUCCCACAGUCCAAAAACAUGACUGUCAGGUUAAUUGGUUUCUCUAAAUUCUCCCUAGGUGUGAGUGUGUGAAUGGUUGUUUGUCUUGUAUGUCUCUGUGUUGCCCUGCGACAGACUGGCGACCUGUCCAGGGUGAACCCCGCCUCUCGCCCAGGACGCAGCUGGAGAUAGACACCAGCAACCCUCCCGACCCCAUUAGGGAAGAAGGGUGUAUAGAAAAUGGAUGGAUGGAUGGAUGGAUAUAUAGACUGAUAUACUAUUUGUAAUUUUAGAACUGGAAUAAAUGAUUGUUUCAAUAAUUUUCUAAUUUGUUGAGCUGCAUUUAUAUUUGUGAUCUUGACCAAAUCUUUAGGCAGCUGGUGAAAGCUUGACAAACACUGUGUGCGUGUGUGUGUAGGUGUGUGUGUGUGUGUGUGUGUGUGUGUGUGUGUGUGUGUGUGUGCGUGUGUGUGUGUAUGCGUGUGUGGGUGUGUGUGUAGGUGUGUGUGCGUGUGCAUGUGUGUGUGUGUGUAGGCGUGUGUGGGUGUGUGUGGGCAUGUGUGUGUGUGUGUGUGUCUGUAAGCUGCAGUAGACUAAUAAAGCACCACAUCUCCGAAUCUGUCUGUCAAAGUGUCUCAGUCAACCUUAUAGCCUGACACAUCUGACACCUCUGUCAUUCACUGAAUGAGAUAAAAAGACAACCCAUUCAACCCACAAGCUUCUGCUUCACCACCACAGUGCUGCCAUGCUCCCUCUUACCCAAAAUCCCCGUCAUCCGUUUUUUUGCAAAGCAGCAUGUAAGUGACACUUGUAAUAUUCCAGCUGCUGCUGUUUCAGAAGGAAAUCAGAAGGAGGAUCUUUCAUUAUUAACUCUGUCAGUGGCAUGUCCUUUUUUUCCUGUGAAGCUUUUAUUACAGGAUUGCUAUCAGCUCCAUCAGUAAUGUUCACUGUGCCAAACAGUUUUAACCCUUUAAAUCGCAGGAGCAGAAGAAGAGCUUCCCCUAAUUCUAGUUCUCUUACUUAUUUACUGAGUAAAUUUGAUGGUAUUUGAUGGUAAUCAGGGUGACACCCAGUUCAUCCUUAUGAAAAAGGGCAUCUUUACUGCUAAAGCUGAGUUUCCAGCACUAAUACCGGUAACACAAACGACACUGACAGCACCCCGACCUGUUGGCAGACAGCUUGUUGGAGAUGAAUCCGCCUGGGAUCUGAGUGACGAUGUAGCCCCAAAAGAAGGACCCGUGGAUCAGCCCCACAGUCUCUGGGUCCCAGUUAAACUGAGCUUUCUGAAAUGGAGUUAAUAAAACAAAUGAGACAAAAAUGUUCAUAUUCUGGGGAAUAAAAUACAGAGUGCUUCCCUUGAUUAUCACAUACUGGUAACUAAUCUAAAUUCCUUUCUGAAUGUAUGAUGAAAAAAGUGAACAUUGACGUUUCUGUGUGUCAUGACUGUGUCUGAAACAAAAGCAAUAUUUCAUAAGGCAAAAUAAGAUUUAAAAACCCUUCUUUUUAUAAUUAAUUGUAUAUGAAUUUAAGAUGACUCCAUGCAAGGCACAGAAGAACACUCAAUAAUAAGUUUUCUAAAACGAAUUAUUACAUUUCCUUUUUACUUGAAAAUAUGUUUCGUGGGAAGUGAAUGUCUGACUUGAAACUACUAAAAAUUUACAAAAUAUAUUGAAAAAUUAUUGUUAUCAUUAUUUCUGUUAAUCUUGAUGAUUAGGCCUUACAGCUAAUAAAAACAUAAAAUUUAGUUUCUCCACAAAAAAUUAUGUCAAGGCCAUUCAAGGUUAUGCAUACACAUUGGCUACAUUGCUCAUAAGUUACUUUUUUUUUUUUAAAGAAUAAAAGUAAAUCAUCUUUUACAACAUGCAAUUCACUGAGACAUGUAUAUCUUAAAACCUUUAAUGCCAAAGAGUAAAAACAAAACAGUAUUCAGUUAGCUUGUUGGAUUUCAAUCUACCUGAAUCACUCGCGUCCCGUUGAUAUAGACUGUGUUGUUGUUCACCAUCUCUACAAUGGCCACGCCCAGGUUGCAUCGGAUGCCAAAGGAGAUGCAGAAGCCCAGGCCACUGAGGAUGGCAAUGAUGUAGCGCUUGGGCAGACCGCCGCAGCUGCAGUCCAGCAGGGGGGCAGGAAGUGGUGCUGAUGUCACCGGCUGUCCAUCUUCUGUCAGUUCAAUGUUUUCCUCAUCCUCAACAUUACUACCGUCCAUUUUCCUAAAGAGUAAAAGGGAAUGGCAAUCUGUUCACUUUGCUGCAUUUUCAUGUCACACUGUUAUUUAUAUAGAUUUAUAUAGUGUGUUAGUAAAAAUCAGUAGCAAACAAGGAUAAGGAUCAGUGAUCUGCUGUCAUCAGGUUUCUUUAAGGUUUCUCAUUCUUCACAUCCAUUCUGCCUCCUGAAUCAACAUGUCUCUGUUCACACCAGCCAGCAAUAGAUCUCCUAUUACCAGAGGCAUCUCCACAGUGCAGAGGGCUGCUGAAAUUUGCAGUUUUUCUUCUGCACAAAUUUAAGAGAGGGAAGAACAAGCUUUGAUGGAUUGUAAUAUUUCUUUCACAUCUGCCACUUUCUUGGUGCAGAGCUUUUUUUAUUGGCACUAAUUGUAAAUAUUGUCUUUUCAAUGUGCAUUUUAUAUAUAUUUUUUUAUUUAAUUAUCUCCAUUUCACAUUACUUUAGAUUGUGAAAUGUAUCUUUCUGAUAUUUUUCAUAACUACACUGUAUUUAUGUUGAAAUUUUGACCUUAAUGUAUGGUAUUAUAUUUUUAAUUCUGUUUUAUAUAUUGUAUACUCUAUCUUUGUGUGAGUCUAUUUGCUGUUAUUGCCUGUUACUUUGCUGCUGUUGCACAGAUUUUUUUUUUACAUUAUUCUACAGUAUUCUAUCUAUUGCUAUGUUUUUGCCUCCACUGUGCCUCUUGUUGCUGAAAGUAAAUCAUUCCCUCCAGAUCCAGGAUCUGAUAUUUCAGACAGAAAUUAGGAGAAGUAUUGCAAAAAUUACAAAAUAAUUUUAAUAAUGAUAAUAAUCAUCAUAAAUUGAGAACAAAUAAAUAAAUAUUGCCACAAUUAUUAGUAUGAUUAUUAUUAUUAUUAUUAUUUGUGGCAGUGGAAAUAUAAGUGUUGGUAGUAUUUCUGUUAGGUUUUACAUCACUAUUUUAUUUUCAUUAUCUUAUUAUGACGUUAUUAUUAGAAUUAUGUCUUGAAUAAAUGCUAAGCCAAAACCCACACUAAACAUGUCUGUCAUCACUUUGUUCUAUAUCACAUAAAUGUCUUCUGUUUUCAUAAUGAUGUUGCCUUUAUUUUAUUUUCUGUAAUUCUAUUUUUGUUGUCUUGUCUAAAUAAUCCUCCACUUUAUUUUCUAAAGACAGUCGUCUGAAUACAUGUCUAAGCUUCUCCACCGCUGACAAAUUCUUCUGUUAAGAAUUUAUUAGAUGUAAAAUAUGCAUUACUGCCUAAAAAUAAAACCUGUGAUUACAUCACUGGCCUCCCUCUGCAA